GGGGAUUUAGCUCAGUGGCAUAAGCACCUGCCUUCCAAGCAGGUGGUCGUGAGUUCAAUCCCUG
rfam:Cavia porcellus supercont2_42 genomic scaffold, whole genome shotgun sequence.